CCUACGGGAGGCAGCAGUGGGGAAUUUUGGACAAUGGGCGCAAGCCUGAUCCAGCAAUGCCGCGUGCAGGAAGAAGGCCUUCGGGUUGUAAACUGCUUUUGUACGGAACGAAACGGUCCUGGUUAAUACCCGGGGCUAAUGACGGUACCGUAAGAAUAAGCACCGGCUAACUACGUGCCAGCAGCCGCGGUAAUACGUAGGGUGCGAGCGUUAAUCGGAAUUACUGGGCGUAAAGCGUGCGCAGGCGGUCUUGUAAGACAGGCGUGAAAUCCCCGGGCUCAACCUGGGAAUUGCGCUUGUGACUGCAAGGCUGGAGUGCGGCAGAGGGGGAUGGAAUUCCGCGUGUAGCAGUGAAAUGCGUAGAUAUGCGGAGGAACACCGAUGGCGAAGGCAAUCCCCUGGGCCUGCACUGACGCUCAUGCACGAAAGCGUGGGGAGCAAACAGGAUUAGAUACCCUGGUAGUCCACGCCCUAAACGAUGUCAACUGGUUGUUGGGUCUCUUCUGACUCAGUAACGAAGCUAACGCGUGAAGUUGACCGCCUGGGGAGUACGGCCGCGAAGGUUGAAACUCAAAGGAAUGACGG
rnacentral:rRNA from 1 species